rnacentral:rRNA from 1 species
ACCCGACAGCUCAGUACAUUCGCUGUCCGCCCGGGCACUACAAGCAUUAGCUUCAAACCCAAAGGACUUGACGGUGCUUUAUAUCCACCUAGAGGAGCCUGUCCUAGAACCGAUACCCCUCGUUAAACCUCACCUUUUCUUGCUCUUGCCGCCUAUAUACCGCCGUCUUCAGCCUACCCUGUAAAGGUCUCACAGUGGGCACAAUUGGCACAGCCCAAAACGUCAGGUCGAGGUGUAGCGAAUGAAAAGGGAAGAGAUGGGCUACAUUCAAUGAAUCAAUGAAAUACGAAUAGUUAAAUGAAACAUUAACUUAAAGGAGGAUUUAGUAGUAAGCAAGG